CUGAUGAGAGGAGGACUCCACGUCGCUCUGUGAGACAAGCCCCUGAUUGACUGCUCUGCUGUGUGAGCCUGAACCAACUGUGGCCACCUGUCUGUCUCCAUCUUCGUCGUCUGUCUUUCGGUGUGCAUCACCGGGUGGCCUUUGCUGGAGCCUAGGACCCACUAGAAAUAGGAGACUGUCACACUGAUUUCCAAAGUGGGUGCGCCAUUUUGCAUUUCCAAGGCUAAUGAAUGAGAGUUCCUGAUGCUCCAUGAUCUCACCAGCAUUUUGUGUUCUCAGUGUUCUGGAUUUUGACGAUUCUACUAGUUGUAGGUAUAGUAGAUGUGAAGCUACACUGACCAGUAAGGGAGCCAGUAGCCACUUGUGGCUAUUGAGUAUUUGAAAUGUGACUAGUCCAAAUCAAUAUGUGUUGUAAAUGUAAAAUACACACUGGAUUUCAAAGAUGGUAUGAAGAAAGAAUGUUAAAACAUCUCACGAAAGUGACUAUUAGUUGAAAAGAGAAUAUUGGGAUAUGUUGGGUUAAAUGAAAUGAUGCUGCCAUCUCGUUCCAUUCUAAAGUGUCGCUCUUGCCUCCAAGGUGAGAACUAUUAUUAAUGGACUAUAUCCUGGCAUAAGGUGCUGUUGAGAGAGG